AGACCGUUCAUUCACUGGUUGCCGAGAUUACACAUCGGUCCUGUCUAAGUUUCGGAGCUGCAAACUUCACGCUAGCGAGUUAUUUAUCAUAUCUGAGGACAACAGAUGACAAUAAUGGAGACUCAACCAAAACUUGCUGUAAUGGUAACAGUGGUCCAGAGCCUGUGCCAGAGGGGAUGCCAGUCUAACAUGGAAAAAAAAAACACCCAGAAUACAACAUUUCACCAGAGUAAAAGGAAAUAUCCAAAGAGGUGAUGCCCGUGUUAAACAGGUGUUGCACGCAGCAGCGUUGAGCAGCAGACAGAACCUCACGACAAAAGACACUACAAGACAUCAACGGCUCAACGCUUUGAUACCUACAGGACCUGAUCACUCUUGGAGGCCCAAAAACAAAAUUCCAUUGGUUCUCUGUUUUGGCAGAAUGAGAUUCCUCUGUCACUCAGAACUGCUGAAUCCCUCCCAGCAUUCCAGAAGUGUCUCAAAUCGCAAUUCUUUCACACCCAUUUCUUUCCCUAUCUGAUGUACUCUUUACAUACUCUGUAUGUGACAAUUUUAAAAUGCCUAAUCUGCAUGGAUUAACAAGAAGUCUUUACAUCGGGGGAUUUUAUUUGCUGUAACGUCUUCUCUAAAUUCUCAAAAGUGUAUUUCUGGAGUUUCAGCAAAACCUGCCGCAAUCUCACCUUCCUCAAAUCCGCCUUUGACUUAAUAACCAUUGUGAG
rnacentral:lncRNA from 1 species